ACAGCUUCUACCUCAAGGCCGUCAGACUGUUUAAUAGCCAUCACUAGCACAUUAGAGGCUGCUGCCCGAUAUACAUAGACUUGACUGUGCAUAGAGGGCACUGGCCACUUCAAUAAUGUUCACAUAUUUUGCUUUAUUUUUAUUUACAUUACUUUAUUCUAUUGUAUUUUAGUCUAUGCCGCUCUGACAUCGCUCGUCCUAAUAUUUAUAAGUUCUUAAUUCCAAUCCUUUACUUUAGAUUUGUGUGUAUUGUUGUGAAAUAAUCAGGCCUCUCCAGGAACACAGCCUCUCUGAUGGUCUGCUAGGUAAUCAGGCCUCUCCAGGAACACAGAAACUCUCUGGUGGUCUGUGCUAGGUAAUCAGGCCUCUCCAGGAACACAGAAACUCUCUGAUGGUCUGCUAGGUAAUCAGGCCUCUCCAGGAACACAGCCUCUCUGAUGGUCUGCUAGGUAAUCAGGCCUCUCCAGGAACACAGCCUCUCUGUUGGUCUGCUAGGUAAUCAGGCCUCUCCAGGAACACAGCCUCUCUGUUGGUCUGCUAGGUAAUCAGGCCUCUCCAGGAACACAGCCUCUCUGUUGGUCUGCUAGGUAAUCAGGCCUCUCCAGGAACACAGCCUCUCUGUUGGUCUGCUAGGUAAUCAGGCCUCUCCAGGAACACAGCCUCUCUGUUGGUCUGCUAGGUAAUCAGGCCUCUCCAGGAACACAGCCUCUCUGUUGGUCUGCUAGGUAAUCAGGCCUCUCCAGGAACACAGCCUCUCUGUUGGUCUGCUAGGUAAUCAGGCCUCUCCAGGAACACAGCCUCUCUGUUGGUCUGCUAGGUAAUCAGGCCUCUCCAGGAACACAGCCUCUCUGUUGGUCUGCUAGGUAAUCAGGCCUCUCCAGGAACACAGCCUCUCUGUUGGUCUGCUAGGUAAUCAGGCCUCUCCAGGAACACAGCCUCUCUGUUGGUCUGCUAGGUAAUCAGGCCUCUCCAGGAACACAGCCUCUCUGUUGGUCUGCUAGGUAAUCAGGCCUCUCCAGGAACACAGCCUCUCUGUUGGUCUGCUAGGUAAUCAGGCCUCUCCAGGAACACAGCCUCUCUGUUGGUCUGCUAGGUAAUCAGGCCUCUCCAGGAACACAGCCUCUCUGUUGGUCUGCUAGGUAAUCAGGCCUCUCCAGGAACACAGCCUCUCUGAUGGUCUGCUAGGUAAUCAGGCCUCUCCAGGAACACUCUGCUGGUCUGCUGUUUAUUCAUCACCCUCUUAUCUUCCAUUGAUUCCCCCCCGCCCCUCGGUGCCCAGGCACAGGUUAGUGGUGUGUGUG